GUCCCUGCAGCACAAUUGUUAGCGCGUUGGACUUCUAUUCCAAAGAUCGCGGGUUCUCAUCCCACCUGGGAUG